UUGUAUUCUUAGAAUUGUAUGACUAAUAUUUAAGUUAUUACAUAUAUUUUCAUCGUUUUCAAAAAAGAGAAUUGUUAAUUUGUUUAAAGGAAUAUUUGCGCUAUUAAUAAUGAAAGUCAAAUAAAAAGUCUUAAAUAUUCAGUGACAAUUGCAUGUAUCUCCAGUCGGACGCUAGCCACACUUUGACCACGUCCUGCGCAUUGACGCACAGCAAGUUCAAGUCAACGUCGACGUGCGCGCGAUACUCCCGGGCCAUCGUGGCCUUCCAGGACGCGUUGCCGUCCUUUUGCUCGAUCAUCAUCAGCGUCCUCCUGGACGACUGUAUCGUGUCCAACAAGUGCUUGUACUCCGCUUCCAGUAUCUUUUCCUCGUCCUUGAUCAUGGGCUUCCCGCACACGGCAAACUUACACAUGUAAUGAACCACGUCCGAGGACCAGUUUGCUUUUUGAGCCAUUUUUACCACAACCACUUUUCUUUCGUUUCCACACCUGCGGCAGUGAGCGCUUGUUCAACGUCCAUUUUUCUCCUCAGCGCAUUUUUGCGAAUUAGGGUGUCGAUUUCAUUUAUCACAAGCUUGGUGGAGGAAUAUUCAAAGUUGUGGACUGCAAACAGAGUAUAAAAAUCCUAAUUCUGAAGUAGGAAAAUGGCUUCAUUUAGUUUUUGGUUUAUCACUUUUUUCACACGAAGAAGUGGAGGAUGUGUUUGUAGAAGAACUAAUGACGAUUCAAUCAAUUAAUUCAAAUCUAACUAAAUUUACUAAUUAUCUUGUUGAAAACUAUAUAUCAUCUAAUUCUACAUUUCCUCCAAAACUGUAGGCGUCCAAUUCAAUAAGCUGUGAAUGUACAACUAUAAUGUAUGUGAAGCUUUUCACGCUUCAUUUUCUACAAACUUUUAUUCUCCCCAUCCAAAUAUUUUUGUCUUUUUAAAAGUUAUUAUUGAAACGCAGACUGGCACGUAGGUACAUUGCAAUAAAUAGUAUAGAACAGGAUAAAUAUAUUUCUAAUAGAGCAUAUUUAAAAAAAAAAUUAACAAUUAAUUCUUAUAUAUCGAUAAAUACAAAUCUGGCGAAAUUAGUAGAAACGAAUUUUUUAAAAUUGUGUGUUAUCAUUAUUGUAAAAACGUUUAAAUGUGAAUUAUAAUAUUAUUAUGUACCUAUUAAUUUAAUUUUGAAUAAUUGACAAUCAAACUUGUGACCAGUUAGUGUACCCACCUAUUAAUUUAUUUGUGUUAUAUUUAUUUUUUUUUAAAUCAGCAUAUUAUUAUUUUACCUCGUUGUGACCAAAUUCAUUAUUUUAACGUAAUUGCAAACUUGUGACCGAUUAUAGUGUACCUAUUGAUUUAUUUGUAUUAUACUUUUUUUAAAUCAUAAUGUUAUUAAUUAUUAUUAUACCUCGUGGUGAAACA